UACGUAGGAGACGAGCGUUGUCCGGAAUUACUGGGCGUAAAGCGUGCACAGGCGGUUUUGUAAGCCAGAUGUGAAAUCCCCGGGCUUAACCUGGGAAUGGCAUUUGGGACUGCAAGGCUUGAGUGCGGCAGAGGGGGAUGGAAUUCCGCGUGUAGCAGUGAAAUGCGUGGAUAUGCGGAGGAACACCGAUGGCGAAGGCAAUCCCCUGGGCCUGCACUGACGCUGAGGAGCGAAAGCGUGGGGAGCGAACAGG
rnacentral:rRNA from 1 species